UAACAUGUCCAGUCCAUUCAGCAAGCCAACUUACACAGCUCACACAACACCCUCGUCAGAGCAAACCCAGAGCAAACCCAGAGCCCCGCCUCACCAGGAUACUAACACCAUAUAUACAUAUCCUGUUUUUGUCAUUUCUGUUGGGAGCUCCCUUUCGGGUUCGCUGUGUUUCUUUACUCCCUGAUUCUAUUCAUAUUAUUUUAAGCUCCUGCCUUGGUUUAAUUGUCUUGGUCUCCUUUAUCUGUUACUUUAAUUGUAUUUUUGUCUUAAUAAACAGCUAAAGUGUCCUUUCUUUCAGUCUGUGUCUUUUGUUUCAUUAAGGACAUUUAACAUCUAAUAUCCUCUGCCUGACCAUGAAUGCAAACGCCGGAGAAGGCAUGGAAAUGCUGAGCAGGUUGCAGGAAAUAAUUCAAAAUAAUAAACGUUAUGUGAUACCAGUCCUGGGUGUAGUGGCGUUGAUGUGUGCUUCAUCUGGUAUAAUCACGCACUACCAAAACCUCCCUCCUGAAAUCAAAGCAUUAAUAUGUGAUUGCCUAAGGUACAUGAUACUCAAUGCAAUAAAGUACUGAAGCUUGUCAACAGGAGUAAUUCAACACUAAAUAUGUGUAUCAAGAAAUGGCUGCAGCAAUGGGAAUGGACAUCUAUAGAAUAAAGCUCAGCAACAGGGAACGGGUUCUUCACGCACUUAUUUCUCUUAUUUGCAUCACCCCGUCUGAAUCUUCUUUAACUGUUAUAUUUUAACUGAUGCAUUCCUUCAAGCUUCCUUAACUGAUAUGUAGCACACAGAUAUAUUCUUAUGAGCUACAGAAAUUGUCUUAAUCAUACUUAUAUUAUUGUUUAGGGUUUUAUUUCUUUUGGGAAUAUGUCUCUGUCCUGAAAUUAAUUCUCAUAAUCAUUAAAAAUCUUUUAUCCACUUGAUAAUCCAAAAAGUGAAAUAAACAAUGUUAAGCAUUUAUGGUUUUGAUGUUUGGUUUUUGUAGUUUGGAUAGGUGUAGUAGUCUUGGAUAGGUUACUUUCUUUAUAUUCUGGCUCUACUUUAUGUCUACAAUGUCAU